GAUGAACGCUAGCGGGAGGCCUAACACAUGCAAGCCGAGCGGUAUUGUUUCUUCGGAAAUGAGAGAGCGGCGUACGGGUGCGGAACACGUGUGCAACCUGCCUUUAUCUGGGGGAUAGCCUUUCGAAAGGAAGAUUAAUACUCCAUAACAUAUUGAUUGGCAUCAAUUAAUAUUGAAAGCUCCGGCGGAUAGAGAUGGGCACGCGCAAGAUUAGCUAGUUGGUGAGGUAACGGCUCACCAAGGCGAUGAUCUUUAGGGGGCCUGAGAGGGUGAUCCCCCACACUGGUACUGAGACACGGACCAGACUCCUACGGGAGGCAGCAGUGAGGAAUAUUGGUCAAUGGGUGCAAGCCUGAACCAGCCAUCCCGCGUGAAGGACGACUGCCCUAUGGGUUGUAAACUUCUUUUGUAUAGGGAUAAACCUACCCUCGUGAGGGUAGCUGAAGGUACUAUACGAAU
rnacentral:rRNA from 1 species